rnacentral:misc_RNA from 1 species
GAUGAAGAACGUAGCGAAAUGCGAUAAGUAAUGUGAAUUGCAGAAUUCAGUGAAUCAUCGAAUCUUUGAACGCACAUUGCGCCCAUUAGUAUUCUAGUGGGCAUGCCUGUUCGAGCGUCAUUUCAACCCUUAAGCCUCUGUUGCUUAGCGUUGGGAGCCUACCUACCCGGUAGAUCCUCAAAGUUAGCUGGCAGGGUCGAGGUUCGCCCUAAGCGUAGUAGUUCUUUCUCGCUUCUGCGGCUGCCUAGGCCAUCGCCACAUGCCUUUUAAACUUCAAUGGUUGACCUCGGAUCAGGUAGGAAUACCCGCUGAACUUAAGCAUAUCAAUAAGCGGAGGA